UAAGUUAAUAAGGGCGCACGGUGGAUGCCUUGGCACUAGGAGCCGACGAAGGACGUGACAAACGACGAUAUGCCUUGGGUAGCUGUAAGUAAGCGAUGAUCCAGGGAUUUCCGAAUGGGGGAACCCAACAGGUAAUACCUGUUACCUACAUCUGUUAAGGAUGUGAGGAGGAAGACGCAGUGAACUGAAACAUCUAAGUAGCUGCAGGAAGAGAAAGCAAAAGCGAUUGCCUUAGUAGCGGCGAGCGAAACGGCAGAAGGGCAAACCGAAGAGUUUACUCUUCGGGGUUGUAGGACUGCAAUGUGGACUCAAAGAUUAUAGAAGAAUGAUUUGGGAAGAUCAGCCAAAGAGAGUAAUAGCCUCGUAUUUAAAAUAGUCUUUGUACUUAGCAGUAUCCUGAGUACGGCGGGACACGUGAAAUCCCGUCGGAAUCUGGGAGGACCAUCUCCCAACCCUAAAUACUCCCUAGUGACCGAUAGUGAACCAGUACCGUGAGGGAAAGGUGAAAAGCACCCCGGGAGGGGAGUGAAAUAGAACCUGAAACCGUGUGCCUACAACAAGUUCGAGCCCGUUAAUGGGUGAGAGCGUGCCUUUUGUAGAAUGAACCGGCGAGUUACGUUAUGAUGCGAGGUUAAGUUGAAGAGACGGAGCCGUAGGGAAACCGAGUCUGAAUAGGGCGCCUUAGUAUCAUGACGUAGACCCGAAACCAUUGUGACCUACCCAUGAGCAGGUUGAAGGUGCGGUAAGACGCACUGGAGGACCGAACCAGGGCACGUUGAAAAGUGCUUGGAUGACUUGUGGGUAGCGGAGAAAUUCCAAACGAACUUGGAGAUAGCUGGUUCUCUCCAAAAUAGCUUUAGGGCUAGCGUCGACAUUAGAGAUUCUUGGAGGUAGAGCACUGUUUGGGUGAGGGGUCCAUCCCGGAUUACCAAUCUCAGAUAAACUCCGAAUGCCAAUGAAUUAUGGUCGGCAGUCAGACUGCGAGUGCUAAGAUCCGUAGUCGAAAGGGAAACAGCCCAGACCACCAGCUAAGGUCCCAAAAUAAUUGUUAAGUGGAAAAGGAUGUAGGGUUGCACAGACAACUAGGAUGUCAGCUUAGAAGCAGCUAUUCAUUCAAAGAGUGCGUAAUAGCUCACUAGUCGAGUGACCCUGCGCCGAAAAUGUACCGGGGCUAAAACAAUUUACCGAAGCUGUGGAUACCUUUAUAGGUAUGGUAGGAGUAGCGUUCUAAUGUGUGAUGAAGGUAUACCGUGAGGAGUGCUGGAACGCAUAGAAGUGAGAAUGCCGGUAUGAGUAGCGAAAGACAGGUGAGAAUCCUGUCCACCGUAAGACUAAGGUUUCCAGGGGAAGGCUCGUCCGCCCUGGGUUAGUCGGGACCUAAGGAGAGACCGAAAGGUGUAUCCGAUGGACAACAGGUUGAUAUUCCUGUACUAGAGUAUGUAGUGAUGGAGGGACGCAGUAGGCUAACUAAAGCAGACGAUUGGAAGAGUCUGUCUAAGCAGUGAGGUGUGAAUUGAGUCAAAUGCUUAAUUCUAUAACAUUGAGCUGUGAUGGGGAGCGAAGUUUAGUAGCGAAGUUAGUGACGUCACACUGCCAAGAAAAGCUUCUAGCGUUUAAACAUACUCUACCCGUACCGCAAACCGACACAGGUAGUCGAGGCGAGUAGCCUCAGGUGAGCGAGAGAACUCUCGUUAAGGAACUCGGCAAAAUGACCCCGUAACUUCGGGAGAAGGGGUGCUGACUUAAAGUCAGCCGCAGUGAAUAGGCCAAGCAACUGUUUAUCAAAAACACAGCUACUCUGCUAAAUCGUAAGAUGAUGUAUAGGGGGUGACGCCUGCCCGGUGCUGGAAGGUUAAGAGGAGUGCUUAGCGUAAGCGAAGGUAUGAAUUGAAGCCCAGUAAACGGCGGCCGUAACUAUAACGGUCCUAAGGUAGCGAAAUUCCUUGUCGGGUAAGUUCCGACCCGCACGAAAGGCGUAAUGAUUUGGGCACUGUCUCAACGAGAGACUCGGUGAAAUUUUAGUACCUGUGAAGAUGCAGGUUACCCGCGACAGGACGGAAAGACCCCAUGGAGCUUUACUGCAGUUUGAUAUUGAGUGUCUGUACCACAUGUACAGGAUAGGUAGGAGUCUAAGAGAUCGGGACGCCAGUUUCGAAGGAGACGCUGUUGGGAUACUACCCUUGUGUUAUGGCCACUCUAACCCAGAUAGGUGAUCCCUAUCGGAGACAGUGUCUGACGGGCAGUUUGACUGGGGCGGUCGCCUCCUAAAAGGUACGGAGGCGCCCAAAGGUUCCCUCAGAAUGGUUGGAAAUCAUUCGCAGAGUGUAAAGGUAUAAGGGAGCUUGACUGCGAGAGCUACAACUCGAGCAGGGACGAAAGUCGGGCUUAGUGAUCCGGUGGUUCCGUAUGGAAGGGCCAUCGCUCAACGGAUAAAAGCUACCCUGGGGAUAACAGGCUUAUCUCCCCCAAGAGUUCACAUCGACGGGGAGGUUUGGCACCUCGAUGUCGGCUCGUCGCAUCCUGGGGCUGUAGUCGGUCCCAAGGGUUGGGCUGUUCGCCCAUUAAAGCGGCACGCGAGCUGGGUUCAGAACGUCGUGAGACAGUUCGGUCCCUAUCCGUCGCGGGCGUAGGAAAUUUGAGAGGAUCUGCUCCUAGUACGAGAGGACCAGAGUGGACUUACCGCUGGUGUACCAGUUGUCUUGCCAAAGGCAUCGCUGGGUAGCUAUGUAGGGAAGGGAUAAACGCUGAAAGCAUCUAAGUGUGAAACCCACCUCAAGAUGAGAUUUCCCAUGAUUAUAUAUCAGUAAGAGCCCUGAGAGAUGAUCAGGUAGAUAGGUUAGAAGUGGAAGUGUGGCGACACAUGUAGCGGACUAAUACUAAUAGCUCGAGGACUUAUCCA
rnacentral:rRNA from 1 species